UUCCGCGUGUGCGCACCUGGUCCUGCUUUUCCGGCUGCGCACGCAUCUCUCAGGUGUGGUGGGCAGGCCGGACCUCGAGUGCUGCUUUCAGCGUUUCAUCUCCGAGCAAACUCACAGGCGUCUUUAGAGCUUUCUCAGGCACUCAGUUAUUUGCUCCUCAGAACAGUUUCGGAGAGAGAAGAGGCAGAAAUCACUGUCACCUGAAGCAAAUGCCUCAGCUCUCCAUGGUUCGCCUGUAUUCUGCCGUUCCAUCGGCGAUGACGGCAUCCAGGGGAUAGCGCUUCUUGCGGAUGCUGCGCCCGGAGGAGAUGAGGUCGGCGUAGCCACGCUGGUGGGAGAAAGCGUAGGCCGAGCGCCGCCUGGACACGCCCCGGCGGAACACAUUCUGCCGCCGCUUCCACUGCUCUUCGGCUUUUAACUGCUUUCGGUGCUUCUGAAUCUACGGAAGCGAGAGAGAUGGGGCACUUAGUUCCUUCCCCCAAUUUUUUUACUCUAAAAAAUAACAUUGUGGACUUCCCUGGUGGUGCAGUGGUUGGGAAUCUGCCUGCCAGUGCAGGAGACACGGGUUCGAUCUCUGGUCUGGGAAGAUCCCACAUGCCACGGAGCAACUAAGCCCGCGUGCCACAACUACUGAGUCUGCGUGCCACAACUGCUGAAGCCCACGCACCUAGAGCCCGUGCUCCGCAACAAGAGAAGCCACCGCAAUGAGAAGCCCGCGCACCACUGCGAGGAGGGGCCCCCGCUCACCACAACUAGAGAAAGCCCGCGUGCAGCAACCAAGACCCAACACAGCCAUAAAUAAAUAAAUAAACAAACAAACAAACAAAAAAAUGGCCUUCUCUCAAACCACUAAAAAAGUUUAAAAUAAAUAAAUAAAUAAUAAAAAA